rnacentral:rRNA from 1 species
GAUGAACGCUAGCGGCAGGCCUAAUACAUGCAAGUCGAACGGUGUCUUCGGACAUAGUGGCGCACGGGUGCGUAACACGUAUGCAACCUACCUUACAUUGGGGGAUAGCCUUUCGAAAGGGAGAUUAAUACCGCAUAAGACAGUAACUAGGCAUCUAGUAGCUGUUAAAGAUUUAUCGAUGUAAGCUGGGCAUGCGUCCAAUUAGCUAGUUGGUGAGGUAACGGCUCACCAAGGCAAUGAUUGGUAGGGGAACUGAGAGGUCAAUCCCCCACACUGGCACUGGGAUACGGGCCAGACUCGUGCGGGAGGCAGCGGUAGGGAAUAUUGGGCAAUGGACGCAAGUCUGACCCAGCCAUGCCGCGUGCAGGAUGAAGGCGUUAUGCGUUGUAAACUGCUUUUAUACAGGAAGAAACGACUCUUGCGAGAGGCAUUGACGGUACUGUAUGAAUAAGCACCGGCUAACUCCGUGCCAGCCGCCGCGGUAAAAC